rnacentral:rRNA from 1 species
UACGUAGGUGACAAGCGUUGUCCGGAUUUACUGGGCGUAAAGAGCUCGUAGGCGGUGUGUCGCGUCGGCCGUGAAAACCUGCAGCUUAACUGUGGGCUUGCGGUCGAUACGGGCAUCACUGGAGUUCGGCAGGGGAGACUGGAAUUCCUGGUGUAGCGGUGAAAUGCGCAGAUAUCAGGAGGAACACCGGUGGCGAAGGCGGGUCUCUGGGCCGUAACUGACGCUGAGGAGCGGAAAGCGUGGGGGAGCAAACAGG